UACGUAGGGUGCAAGCGUUAAUCGGAAUUACUGGGCGUAAAGCGUGCGCAGGCGGUUGUGCAAGACAGAUGUGAAAUCCCCGGGCUCAACCUGGGAAUUGCAUUGUGACUGCACGGCUAGAGUGUGUCAGAGGGGGGUAGAAUUCCACGUGUAGCAGUGAAAUGCGUAGAGAUGUGGAGGAAUACCGAUGGCGAAGGCAGCCCCCUGGGAUAACACUGACGCUCAUGCACGAAAGCGUGGGGAGCGAACAGG
rnacentral:rRNA from 1 species